CUCCUCCCUGCAUCCGUGUGUUUUCAUCCGCCACCGGAAACAGGAGGGCUGACCCUUGGGAUGGGCCGGAGCUCCAGCGCCACAGGGGCUCCUGGAGAGAAAUCCAGUCUGCCUCGGCUUGACAUGGUCCAUCACCAAAACCAGCGAUGGAGUGAGGCGGGGCAGCACAGCAGCAGCUUCCUCCUCCUCUGCUCUCGGGCCUGUGCUCUGAGCUGCACACAAAUCCACAGCUCUCUUUUCCUUUCUUGGCCCUGGCCCCCUUCUUUCCGGAACUCUGUUUCAAAAACUUCACAAGCCAUGCAGGUGGUUUUUGUUGCAUGACAGCUCGUAUUCUUGACAGAUCCUACAUCUGCACAUUAAUACUCCUUGAUGCCUCCAGCCUGAAACUUUCCCAGACACACUGGCCUCAGCACCUCUGAAGCAAUCCCUGGUGGGGACAGACUGCUCAGGAAUUCCUUCCUGGGUCUGAGGGCUGGGAGGUCCUGGUUUUAAACAAGAGAAACUUCCCGGUCACUGGCUCUGAACUUCAAGACAUCUGAAGACACGAGUAGAAACCAGCCUCCUUCAGAGCUCUGAGUGUUA
rnacentral:lncRNA from 1 species